rnacentral:rRNA from 1 species
UACGGAGGGUGCAAGCGUUAAUCGGAAUUACUGGGCGUAAAGCGCACGUAGGUGGUUCGUUAAGUUGGAUGUGAAAGCCCCGGGCUCAACCUGGGAAUUGCAUUCAAAACUGGCAGACUAGAGUAUGUGAGAGGGGGGUAGAAUUCCAAGUGUAGCGGUGAAACGCGUAGAGAUUUGGAGGAAUACCAGUGGCGAAGGCGGCCCCCUGGCACAAUACUGACGCUGAGGUGCGAAAGCGUGGGGAUCAAACAGGAUUAGAUACCCUGGUAGUCCACGCCGUAAACGAUGUCUACUAGCUGUUCGUGGUCUUGUACCGUGAGUAGCGCAGCUAACGCGCUAAGUGAGCCGCCUGGGGAGUACGUCCGCAAGGAUGAA